CUUGUUGCAAAUGGGCUUAGCAAAAGGAGAGAGAAACAAAAGCAGCUAAAGAUUUGAGACAGAGAGUAAUAGAACAUAACAUCCUUGUUGUCUCAAAGUAUUACUGAAGGAUUACCUUGGCGAGACUUGCUGAGCUGCUUUGUCUCAUUGUUUAGGUGACUUCCAAAAACGAUCAAGCACAAGGCUAAUGCUUCAAAACCAUAUAUAUUCCUUCCUGUUUUAGAAUUUUUUUUGGAUUCCAUCAUUGAUUUUGCUCUUAAUUUUGUUCAAUUACUUACUGGUUUUCAAUGGAUG